CACCUCCUCCACCUUCCCGGGGAUCACCACCACCCGCUCACUCAGGCGGUUGCUGUUCACCAGCACCUGCAGGGGAAACACGGCCUGGUAAGAACUGGACUGGACUCUAAAUGGAACAGGUGCCAGCAAACAUGAGCACCACUGUAGCGGUCACAGACAGGUACGCACCUCAGCAUGCUGAGCCAUGGUGCUGGCCUCCACUGCAUACACCUUCCUGGCUCCAGCCUGGGCCGCAAAGAAGGACAGGAUUCCUGAUCCGCAGCCCACAUCCAGAACCACCUGGAGAUCAGGAGGGAGACUCAAGGUCAUGAUCCUCCUCCCCCCUCUAACUGUAGUCACUCCAGAACUUCAGGACGAUGUGCUUAGAGCCAGGAGGCAUCCUCAGGAGUAUCAAGGCCCCAGACAUGGACUCAUUUAGGAGGAGAAAAACACAACUCUUUAUGGAUCACAAUAAAGACAGCUAACAUUUAAAUAAGCAGGAUAAGGUUAUUUUAAAUGGUUGUUCUUUGACCUGUGGAGGAAGUAUUCAAGUCACUGCAACAUUGCUAUGUGUAAAGCCAUAGGAAGUUCACACUGCCUUAUUCCUGGCUCUUAUUGUGAAGGUUUGCUGCAUUGAUGCUAUAAAUAGAGACACACAUCACUGUGUUAUUGUUUUGACUCUGCUGUCCAGCGUCAGCAGACCUUUGGACAAAAUGCUGGCAGUCCAAGAAAUCUGGAGUUUCACGUGCUUCAAUGUUUUCAGGUCAAACUCAUUUUAACAUCUGACAAAGGUAACCUUAGAAAACACAGCAAACUUCAAACUAUGAAGAUCAUUCUUCAUUGUUUGAUGAUUCCAAUCUGGUCCAAUGUAGAAACAUAAUUAGCCCUAUUUGUGAAAUCAUAAAUUAGGUGAGAUAAAAACUUUUUUUGGUUCCAUUCUAUUAGCCAUAACCCUGUUUUAAGUACCGUCAGACCUACAGACUGAAGAAAGCACUUAAAAAAAAUAAAUCAAACACCUGUCUGACAACAUAAAGUUGGUCACAAGAUUUCAAACCACCACACUGUGCCCAGAUCCAAAGAACUUCAAUGAGGAAACAAAAUGAUUGACAUCUAUUAACUUGGAAACGGUGAGAAAAGCAUCUCUGCCAGAGAACAUGGAACAGAGGCGAAGCGUCCACAGACAGCAGACAACACGCCAACAACUAUAACAACCAGGAUCACUGUCUGAAGCUCAGCAGGCCUCACAUCAUUUAAGGUCAGAGUUCACCAUCCUACAAUAAGGCAGAGAGACUGGGGCAAAAUGGAAUCCAAAAUGGCCAAAACCACUCCUGACCCACAACAACGUUACGGUCCAAUUUGGGAAUAUAACCUGAAGUCUAACAAGCCAGAUGUUGAACAUUUUGGAAUGUUAGCCUUCUCUCUCAUAGGCCAUAAAAACAAGAUAAUGCUUCAGAAAAAGGAACACCAACAGUUAAACACGGUGGUGGUCAUAUGAUGAUCUGGGGCUACUGCUUCAGGACCUGGAGGACUUUCUGUAACCGAUGGAACCAACGAUUCUGUUUUCUAUACUGUCUCAACAUGGUGACAAUUUUGACAAACAUGUCGAAAUCAUAUAUUUGUAAAAGUUACAUAAAGUUUUAAACAGGUUGUUCCUACUAGGAAACCCCCAAUGUGCCCAAUUUAAAACAAUUCUGCAAAGAAGAGUGAUGCUCGGCAGACAUUCCCACCAAGAGCUGACAGCCAGUUGCUUGGUUUAGGUUUGGCCAGGUGUCUUUGGAUGCUUUUUUCCCCUUUAAUACAUAAAAUCCUCAUUUGGAAACUGUUCAGGUUGUUAUUAUGACAUGUUGAUCUGAAACAUUCACAUGCAACAGAAAAGGAAGUAGAGAUUAAAUCUGUAAUGGGGCAAUUACUUUUUUUC